UAAUACCGGAUAGAUCAAAGAUACUGGAAUGUUCCUUGAUCCAAAGCUCCGGCGUCCAAGGAUGGAUCUGCGGCCUAUCAGGUAGUAGUGGGUGUAACGUACCUACUAGCCUACGACGAGUACGGGUUGUGAGAGCAAGAGCCCGGAGAUGGAUUCUGAGACAUGAAUCCAGGCCCUACGGGGCGCAGCAGGCGCGAAAUCUUUACAAUGCAGGAAACUGCGAUAAGGGGACCCCGAGUGCCAGCAUCUAAUGCUGGCUGUCCAGCUGUGUAAAUAGCAGUUGUUAGCAAGGGCCGGGCAAGACCGGUGCCAGCCGCCGCGGUAACACCGGCGGCCCGAGUGGUAACCGAUUUUAUUGGGUUUAAAGGGUCCGUAGCCGGCCUGUUAAGUCUCUUGGGAAAUCUGGCGGCUCAAUCGUCAGGCGUCC
rnacentral:rRNA from 1 species